rnacentral:rRNA from 1 species
GGUUAAGCGACUAAGCGUACACGGUGGAUGCCCUGGCAGUCAGAGGCGAUGAAGGACGUGCUAAUCUGCGAAAAGCGUCGGUAAGGUGAUAUGAACCGUUAUAACCGGCGAUGUCCGAAUGGGGAAACCCAGUGCAAUUCGUUGCACUAUCGUUAACUGAAUACAUAGGUUAACGAGGCGAACCGGGGGAACUGAAACAUCUAAGUACCCCGAGGAAAAGAAAUCAACCGAGAUUCCCCCAGUAGCGGCGAGCGAACGGGGAGCAGCCCAGAGUCUGAAUCAGCUUGUGUGUUAGUGGAACGGUCUGGAAAGUCCGACGGUACAGGGUGAUAGUCCCGUACACCAAAAUGCACAGGCUGUGAACUCGAAGAGUAGGGCGGGACACGUGGUAUCCUGUCUGAAUAUGGGGGGACCAUCCUCCAAGGCUAAAUACUCCUGACUGACCGAUAGUGAACCAGUACCGUGAGGGAAAGGCGAAAAGAACCCCGGCGAGGGGAGUGAAAAAGAACCUGAAACCGUGUACGUACAAGCAGUGGGAGCACCUUCGGGUGUGACUGCGUACCUUUUGUAUAAUGGGUCAGCGACUUAUAUUCUGUAGCAAGGUUAACCGUAUAGGGGAGCCGCAGGGAAACCGAGUCUUAACUGGGCGUUAAGUUGCAGGGUAUAGACCCGAAACCCGGUGAUCUAGCCAUGGGCAGGUUGAAGGUUGGGUAACACUAACUGGAGGACCGAACCGACUAAUGUUGAAAAAUUAGCGGAUGACUUGUGGCUGGGGGUGAAAGGCCAAUCAAACCGGGAGAUAGCUGGUUCUCCCCGAAAGCUAUUUAGGUAGCGCCUCGUGAAUUCAUCUUCGGGGGUAGAGCACUGUUUCGGCUAGGGGGUCAUCCCGACUUACCAACCCGAUGCAAACUACGAAUACCGAAGAAUGUUAUCACGGGAGACACACGGCGGGUGCUAACGUCCGUCGUGAAGAGGGAAACAACCCAGACCGCCAGCUAAGGUCCCAAAGUCAUGGUUAAGUGGGAAACGAUGUGGGAAGGCACAGACAGCCAGGAUGUUGGCUUAGAAGCAGCCAUCAUUUAAAGAAAGCGUAAUAGCUCACUGGUCGAGUCGGCCUGCGCGGAAGAUGUAACGGGGCUAAACCAUGCACCGAAGCUGCGGCAGCGACACUAUGUGUUGUUGGGUAGGGGAGCGUUCUGUAAGCCUGCGAAGGUGUGCUGUGAGGCAUGCUGGAGGUAUCAGAAGUGCGAAUGCUGACAUAAGUAACGAUAAAGCGGGUGAAAAGCCCGCUCGCCGGAAGACCAAGGGUUCCUGUCCAACGUUAAUCGGGGCAGGGUGAGUCGACCCCUAAGGCGAGGCCGAAAGGCGUAGUCGAUGGGAAACAGGUUAAUAUUCCUGUACUUGGUGUUACUGCGAAGGGGGGACGGAGAAGGCUAUGUUAGCCGGGCGACGGUUGUCCCGGUUUAAGCAUGUAGGCUGGUUGUCCAGGCAAAUCCGGAUAAUCAAGGCUGAGGUGUGAUGACGAGGCACUACGGUGCUGAAGUAACAAAUGCCCUGCUUCCAGGAAAAGCCUCUAAGCAUCAGGUAACAUCAAAUCGUACCCCAAACCGACACAGGUGGUCAGGUAGAGAAUACCAAGGCGCUUGAGAGAACUCGGGUGAAGGAACUAGGCAAAAUGGUGCCGUAACUUCGGGAGAAGGCACGCUGGUGUGUAGGUGAAGCCCCUGCGGGUGGAGCUGAGACCAGUCGAAGAUACCAGCUGGCUGCAACUGUUUAUUAAAAACACAGCACUGUGCAAACACGAAAGUGGACGUAUACGGUGUGACGCCUGCCCGGUGCCGGAAGGUUAAUUGAUGGGGUUAUCCGUAAGGAGAAGCUCUUGAUCGAAGCCCCGGUAAACGGCGGCCGUAACUAUAACGGUCCUAAGGUAGCGAAAUUCCUUGUCGGGUAAGUUCCGACCUGCACGAAUGGCGUAAUGAUGGCCAGGCUGUCUCCACCCGAGACUCAGUGAAAUUGAACUCGCUGUGAAGAUGCAGUGUACCCGCGGCAAGACGGAAAGACCCCGUGAACCUUUACUAUAGCUUGACACUGAACAUUGAGCCUUGAUGUGUAGGAUAGGUGGGAGGCUUUGAAGCGUGGACGCCAGUCUGCGUGGAGCCAACCUUGAAAUACCACCCUUUAAUGUUUGAUGUUCUAACGUUGGCCCCUUACCGGGGUUGCGGACAGUGUCUGGUGGGUAGUUUGACUGGGGCGGUCUCCUCCCAAAGCGUAACGGAGGAGCACGAAGGUUAGCUAAUCCUGGUCGGACAUCAGGAGGUUAGUGCAAUGGCAUAAGCUAGCUUGACUGCGAGCGUGACGGCGCGAGCAGGUGCGAAAGCAGGUCAUAGUGAUCCGGUGGUUCUGAAUGGAAGGGCCAUCGCUCAACGGAUAAAAGGUACUCCGGGGAUAACAGGCUGAUACCGCCCAAGAGUUCAUAUCGACGGCGGUGUUUGGCACCUCGAUGUCGGCUCAUCACAUCCUGGGGCUGAAGUAGGUCCCAAGGGUAUGGCUGUUCGCCAUUUAAAGUGGUACGCGAGCUGGGUUUAGAACGUCGUGAGACAGUUCGGUCCCUAUCUGCCGUGGGCGCUGGAGAAUUGAGGGGGGCUGCUCCUAGUACGAGAGGACCGGAGUGGACGCAUCACUGGUGUUCGGGUUGUCAUGCCAAUGGCACUGCCCGGUAGCUAAAUGCGGAAGAGAUAAGUGCUGAAAGCAUCUAAGCACGAAACUUGCCCCGAGAUGAGUUCUCCCUGAGACUAUAAGUCUCCUGAAGGAACGUUAAAGACGAUGACGUUGAUAGGCCGGGUGUGUAAGCGCAGCGAUGCGUUGAGCUAACCGGUACUAAUGAACCGUGAGGCUUAACCUU